CCCGCUCUGCCCACUUUCAAAAACUCUCUUCGGAAACCUAUGGGUGACGUCACGGACACUACAUCCAUGUUUUUAUACAGUCUAUGGUGGACACCGAUUGUGUAAAUUAAGAAUCGGAUUACUAACAUAUCCCUAAAAUAAGUGACACAAACAGGACUAAAUUUGACAGUUGGCCACAUGCGGCAGCCUCUUCUCUCUCCCAGCCUUCGUCUCUGACUGUCUCCCAAGAGCUCCGUCAGUAUGACGAGGCCCGAGGAUGCCUUCUCAUCUUCUCUCAGCCGGUGUCAAGCAGCAAUCCUGCGGGGCCCGUCCCUGCUUAAUUCGGCUUAGAGGCCCUCUCUCGUCCCCCACAUUCCUGAUCGCCUCAUUUUUCCGGGUAUGCCUCUCAGGGCUGAGGUGAUUAUUUCCAGAAUAAUAAUAAUAGAGAGAUUAGUGUGUUUAGCAGGCAGAUGUAUUGCUCUGUUCCAUUGCCUUACUUAUAUUUGCCUCUGAACUGAGUGACCUAUUAUAAUAGAUUAAUUCUGCUAUAAAAAAUGAAAGCGCUUAAUGACCCCUGUCUCUUGACGGAGAGGUGUGAAACCCGCCUGAGGAAGAUUUCUUCAGACAUUCCCUGAUCUAUCAAACUCUACGCUGGACACCAGAAGCAGCAGGUGUUGAAGUCUUCAUUCGUUUCUGUCUUGGUUAUUGAUGACCUGGCUCUAUGAAAUUACUCAAAUGGUGGAUGGCCAUGACCAGGAACCAGGAAAAAGGUAAAUGGGAAGGGUGGAAUGAAAAAUUGCAAAAUGAAGAAAACUGUAUUAUUAUUUAUUAAAAGUUCUGUUACAUGCGG